GGACUCUGUUGUCCGUCACCUGCGGGCACUGGAACAAUACGGUGCGCUUCUUUAUCAUGGCCGACCCUAAAUGAGUGGUUGAGCGGCCGAACUGCCACUGCCAUAGCUCUCUGAAGCCAGCCGAAGUUCAGGGGUCGUCAGCCGCGGAGAGCAGAUAAGGCAGAGGUGUCAUAGUGCUUUGUACCAUGAAAAUUAAAAAAACACUAAGAAGAUAUUUUCUUUUAAAAUUCUUUGCUGAGUUAUAUUAAGUUUUGAAACACUUCAAUUCCUGCCCAAGGCUGCUCUGGGAGACAUCUGGUGUUCUAGUUGGUCAGUCAUUACCAGCCAAAGAAGAGAAAUGAUGCCGAGUAUUUUUCCAGUCCUUCAGAUGCUGGAAUUCUAAUUCCUACUCCACUGAUCUGCUGUCUACCAUGUAAUGCCCUUAUGUGGAUGGAUUUAAAGAGGUGAGGAGAGAAGCAAACUUGUAAACACACACGUGCGUGCAUGUGUGUGUGUGUGUGUGCGC
rnacentral:lncRNA from 1 species